CCUAUAAAAAUAACAUAAUGCAAAAUAACAUACAAUUCUCAAAUCUGCUUAAUGCAACUAAAGGUUGCGGAGGUCUGUGCCCAUCUCAGUAGCACUGGGUGCAAUUCAGGACUAGUCCUGGGCAGGGUACCAGACUAUCACAGAGAGCACAUUCACACAUACACUCACCAAGCCAAUUAGGAUUUGCCAGUAUCCUAACCAACAUGUCUUUGAGGGACAUGGGAGGAAAACCAAUGCAGACAUGUGGACAGCAUGCACACUACACACAAGCGACAACCCAGGAUUACGGACCUGUUACCAAGCAUCAGAAUCAUCCUACUGAGGGACACAACCCAGAAUGGAAGCAGAAGUCCUCAAGAGAAAUUGUGGUUACCAGAAAAGUUUAUUUUACUGUAUCGAGGAACAAUGUGGGAUUGAGACACUGAAGAACUUCUAAACCUGAAAAUAUUCAAACGAACUGAGGCCUUCUGGGACCUGAGAGUGACCAGCACAGAUACUGGCACAUGCAUGGAUCAUCAUGGCGUUAUAAUGGAAAAGCAUCAUAACCCUUUCAACCCUGACAUCCUAUUACUAGUACUAGUAUAUAUAUAUGCAGUCAUUUUUGUAAUGCACAGGUAUGUUUGCAGCCAUUGGAACCAAAUGUGCUACUAUUAGUGCAGCCUGGACAGACUGGCAUACAGUCCGUGAAACAUGGAAUUGAAGUAUUUGGCAACUAUUGUAUAAUCAUAGUGAUCAUUUUUUUGUUUUUUUCAUUUUUGAGCUUCCUAGACACCCCAAAGGUAGAAUAUCACACAAAAUUAUUUUUCCCAUAAAAACAGAAAAGGCCAAAAGAGUUAAAAAUUUCUAAGCCAUGCAUAGUCACACUACAUAAAAUGUGAUGUUAUGUAGUAUGUCUUAUUUUUGGAAUAAUAUCAUAAAUAUCUUUAAUUAAUCUAAGGAAAACAACACUGAUGCAGCAGAGUCAAAUUGUGUAAUGGUGUCCUGAUACUUCACCUUUGUCAUUAUGAAUGUGACAAUACAUGGAAAGAAAGGAACGUAAAAAUGUACCACAACAGUGAGAUGCGCAUGAAAAAAAUAUCCAUCUCUUCUCCCAUUUUCUGAGCCAGCUGUAUUAACCGAUCUUCAACAUCUCACUAACAUGAGCUACUGGGCUAAAAGGCUCAGUCAUGGUAAUCUGAAAUGAAAGCCUCCCCCCUUCAUACUAGCUAAGCAAGACCCCAAAGCACCCUUUUAUAUUGCACGCUGGUGCUUAGUGAUGGGUUGUUCUU